UAUUGUAGUCUUAUUGUAGUCUAUGGUGUUUAUACGGAAUAUUUGUCCUUUAUUUAUAUAAUUGGAUUAUCAACAGAUGCAGUACACCCAGGAACAAGCACAAACCUGAUGAACAAAUGGAAAUGAGAAGACAACUUAUGGAGACACGCAAGCAUAACCUGCCGGAGAUUUGUCUUAAUCUCAUCCUGUGCAGAACAACAAAUGGCAGCAAUUGAAUACUGUUUUCAUUAAAGCAUUCUUUGAAUAGAUGGCUAUAUACACAUGUUAUUGAUCAAGUUUCAUGGGGGUUGAACAGACUAAUGGAGCUUCUUCAUUGCUGUUUAAUGUGAUGUUUUUGUUGCAGGCAGAUGUUAAAAGAUUUGAAGCACUUUUAACUGAAACUCACAAAGACUAAAGUACACAUAGAAUAACUAAGAAUGAACAAGAAUUUUUAUUUUGGAGGAACUCGCCAAACUCGAAAAUGCAAACACUGAAGUUUGCUAUGUUUAUUGGGCCUGUUAUCUCAAAGAUUCAUUAACAUCCUUGUAUCCGCAAAUUGGAGUGACAUGCGAUGUACGCAUGCAUCUAGAAUCACCGUCCGAAUUCUUCAACCAUAAAGGGGACAAAUCUACGUACCUCAACACUUCCUUAAUAAUCAAUGAAGGC